rnacentral:rRNA from 1 species
GAAUAUUGGACAAUGGGCGCAAGCCUGAUCCAGCCAUGCCGCGUGAGUGAUGACGGCCUUAGGGUUGUAAAGCUCUUUCGCCAGGGACGAUAAUGACGGUACCUGGAUAAGAAGCCCCGGCUAACUUCGUGCCAGCAGCCGCGGUAAUACGAAGGGGGCUAGCGUUGUUCGGAAUCACUGGGCGUAAAGCGCAUGCAGGCGGAUCAUUAAGUCGGGGGUGAAAUCCCGAGGCUCAACCUCGGAACUGCCUUCGAUACUGGUGAUCUUGAGUCCGGGAGAGGUGAGUGGAACUCCGAGUGUAGAGGUGAAAUUCGUAGAUAUUCGGAAGAACACCAGUGGCGAAGGCGGCUCACUGGCCCGGUACUGACGCUGAGAUGCGAAAGCGUGGGGAGCAAACAG